rnacentral:lncRNA from 1 species
CCAUUCUCCAUCCCUUACCCAUGCUAUGCGCGGCUAGAGAACAUUCAGGUAUCGUCAAUGUAACAUUGUGUUUUUGUAGCCGGAAGAAGUUUCCAAAAUCAAAGCCAACUUCUACCGUUAGGGGAGACAUAAAUAUGGUGGAGCUGGCGAAGCAGGCUGAGGACGGUGACCCAGUCGGACUCAAAGGUAAAGGAGAACGAUCGUAUGAGGGUGGGUUCAUCUUAAAUACGCAGAAAUUGAACCAGAGGAAGGGAGCGCUGCCCGUUUGAAACCCCGCUUCCAGGAAUAAUAAUACUUAGCACUUUUCAUUGGUAGAUCUCAAAAGAGAUUGGUAUUAUUGAACCAUUUUGCAUAUGGGGAAACUGAGGUACAGAGGAGUGAAAUGAACACAGGUCUGCUGCAUUCCAGGCCAGUGUGCAAUCCACUGCCUUGCUGCCUCCCCCUAAAACCUCCACCGUCUGUCUACACUAUGUACUAAGCCUGGGUUCUGACUCUGAGUAGCUUUGUCCCCGAGGAAUUUUAAAUGGCUUUCCCCACUCCCAUUGCAGACGAUCCAUCUUUCUCCAAGAUCCAGACAUUCAUGGCGUGGAUGGUCCUACUCAUUUUCCUGAUUGCGAUCGGAGGAUUGAGCGCCACCAUAUUUGUUUUCACACGAGCUGCCAUCAAACCUGACAUGGCCGCUCUGAGAGCGUCUGCUGCCCCCUGCUGCCCAGAAGGCUGGAUCGCCUCCCAAGGAAAGUGCUACUAUUAUUCUGAAGCGGAAGGGAACUGGAAGUCCGGCCAGAAUUACUGCGCUUCACACGGUGCCUCUCUGGCUGCAAACAGUAGCUUAGAGGUUCUGGUAAGACGGAGCCAUCGAGUCCUUGUAACGGCAAUAGACCAGGUUGCCCACAGCAGGAGGUGUUGGCAUUAGACUGGGAAAACAUAACACCGUCCAAAGCUCCGCCCACAACCCAAGCCCCGCCCACUUGUGACACCAAGUGUCCCCGCUGGGGCAGUGGUGACCAACCCUGUUCAAAAAAAUCACAUCAUGCCCCCCCCUCCAAAAAAAAUCAUGGGAUUUGGCUUAAAAAUCACGGCAUUUUGAAAGCCACACUAAGCUUGGGGGUUCUUUUGUGCACUCGGGUCACGUUUUGAAGCUUUCUUCUGCAAACUCAGAGCUGGGAAUGUUUUAACUGUUUAAUGGAAGGCUGAGAUUCUUAUGUAUUCCUGUGACCCAGGAGCUGCGACUUCAGGACUAAACACCAAAUCUAAUGAUAAAAUCCUAAGAGAUGGCAACCCCAGAUAGGGUUAAAUAGCAAUGUGUUGUCAUUAGGGUUCAGAUUUAACACUCAGUGGAGAUGGGCAGGACAUGUGCCAUCCCUCUGAGUGAGUGGCUCAGGCUCUCUGCA